rnacentral:rRNA from 1 species
AUGAAAUUACAUACAUAAAAGCAGUUAGAGUUUUACUAGAAGUAAAAUGAUAAUGUACUUUUUGCAUAACGGGCCAACGAGUUAUAAUUUAUAGUGAGCUUAAAGUUUGUAGGCGAAGCGAAAGCGAGUUUUAAUAGAGCGAAAGAAAUUAUAAGUUAUAAACCCGAAACCAAGUGAGCUAACUAUGGACAGGUUGAAGAUUAUUGAAAGGUAAUUGGAGGACUGAACCCGUACCUGUAGCAAAAGGUUGGGAUGAUCUGUAGUUAGGGGUGAAAGGCUAAUCAAACUUGGA